CCAAUGACUCUCGGUAACGGAUAUCCCGGCUCUCGCAUUGAUGAAGAACGUAGCGAAAUGCGAUACUUGGUGUGAAUUGCAGAAUCCCGUGAACCAUCGAGUUUUUGAACGCAAGUUGCGCUCGAUGACAUUAGGUUGAGGGCACGUCUGCCUGGGUGUCACGU
rnacentral:rRNA from 1 species